rnacentral:rRNA from 1 species
GAUUAACGCUAGCGGCAGGCAUAAUACAUGCAAGUUGAACGGGAUAAGUUGUAGCAAUACGACUUUGAGAGUGGCGCACGGGUGCGUAACACGUAUGCAAUCUGCCCCUAUCUGUGGAAUAGCCCCUCGAAAGAGGGAUUAAUACCACAUAAUAUAGUGAGUAGGCAUCUACUUACUAUCAAAGCUCCGGCGGAUAGGGAUGAGCAUGCGGCUGAUUAGCUAGUUGGUGAGGUAAUGGCUCACCAAGGCUUCGAUCAGUAGGGGGUCUGAGAGGAUGUCCCCCCACACUGGUACUGAGACACGGACCAGACUCCUACGGGAGGCAGCAGUAGGGAAUAUUGGUCAAUGGGGGCAACCCUGAACCAGCCAUGCCGCGUGCAGGAUU